GCCCUCGUAGCUCAGCUGGAUAGAGCAAGGGUUUCCUAAACCCUAGGCCGCGCGUUCGAAUCGCGCCGAGGGCA
rnacentral:tRNA from 1 species